rnacentral:rRNA from 1 species
UACGAAGGGGGCUAGCGUCGUUCGGAAUUACUGGGCGUAAAGCGCACGUAGGCUGAUAGUUAAGUGAGGGGUGAAAUCCCAGGGCUCAACCCUGGAACUGCCUUUCAUACUGGCUAUCUCGAGUCCGGAAGAGGUUAGUGGAAUUCCCAGUGUAGAGGUGAAAUUCGUAGAUAUUGGGAAGAACGCCGGUGGCAAAGGCGGCUAACUGGUCCGGUACUGACGCUGAGGUGCGAAAGCGUGGGGAGCAAACAGG